UUUUGUAAAUUACCUUUCUCUCACCUCACACCCCAAAACUUUUACCUCUCAUCAUUUCGCUGAUUCUCAUAAUGCCAUAACCCUAACUUUUUUUUUCUCCUUUGAAACAAUCUUAACACCAUUCGAGCGCGAUACUCACUCACAAACUUCAAUUGAAGUCGAUCACAUUGUUGCUCUACCAAAAAAACGUCAAGUUCCACUGCCAUCCCGUCGCCAUCAACCUCACACCCCAACCCCUUUCCCAUUCCUCAUUUGGAUUGGACGUAUUUCACAUUCCUCAUAUUUAAGACCUUGCCACUGUUACAAAAUUUUGAAGAGUAAAAGGAUUUCCACCAAGUAAUUUAGUGACAAGAUUUUCACUUUCAUUCUUCAUUCAACUGUUAUAUGGAAGGUGUUUCUCAUAUGUAAGGUGUUUCUCAUAUGUAAGGUGCAUACCCUUGUUGCUUUUUAGUAAAUUCAAUUUGUCUUGUGGGAGUAAUUGAUUUUUUCUCUCUCACUGUUUGAGGUUUUACAAUUUUGUAUUAUGAAUGUUUUGUUUCAAUAUCUCAUUAGUUGAUGCACAAAUGAGUAUUGCAGCACCA
rnacentral:lncRNA from 1 species